AAUCAUUGGAAUUGAUUUCUGGUAAGAUCUGACCCACUUCGCUUUACAUGAAUUACUUAACUCCAUUUGCUUCUUUUGGGUAAACAGUAAACUGUAUCUAUGAUUUGUAUAGAUAUAGAACUUCUAUUUCUUAUUAAAAUGCUGAAAUUUUUAUUAUAAAGUUAUUCUAGUGUAGACUUCAUGUGCUUCUUACAGAAACUUGUAUUUGACUUUUUUUUUUAAUUAAAGAUCAGAGUCGCACUGUUUUUACCAUCAACACACCUUAUAUGCAUCGACUGAUAACUGGCUUAGCUAGUAAAUUUUUUUUAAUUAUCUUCCAUUUUUGCUGAAGUAACUAUAUUUCAAGUGUACAAACAUAGAAAAAAGUGACCCAAUCCCCUUAAUUUUGUUGUGGAGUGGUUUGCAUCAUUUUUGAUAGUGUGUAUAGGCUUACUGAGGAUUUUCAAAGAAAAUUUACUUCACCACCUGUCUCUAUGCAUGCAGGGUUGACAAGAUUGGUCUCUUUG
rnacentral:misc_RNA from 1 species